UAAAAGGGGCUGAAGUCCUGCGCUGCGUCCUCCACUGCUGCUGCGCUGCAAAGAAAAGUAGGCUCACCACCGCUAGAUAUACAAAUGCUGCCAAACCGUUUUAUAUCGCGGAUGCGAAACAAGCAAACAGUCAUCGACACGCCCUGCUGAAGGUCCAGGACUCCGCCGGAGCGGUGGGCGAGGCAGCCUGAACUCCGCUGGACCGUCCAGAUGGGUUGGCCUCGCAGGAGCGACCCGGCCGGUGGUCAAGGUACAUGUGCACCAGAUGAAGGAAAGAGAAGAAGUCGUCACUAUUUGUGCCUUUAAAGCGCGCUGUCCGUCACUCCAGGCUGUCUGGUUUGUACUCUCACGCUCUCUGGCUGACUCCCAGCAGUCCCUCACCCUUGGCCCCAAAUGGCUGACACACAGCAGUUCUUCACUGGCAAGCUUUAUGUUCCUGUAGACAUGCUAAAGCUGCCAGCUGAAGAACUGCUCUGGUCAGCCCAGCCCCGGAUGACUUGAGAAGAGGAAGCGGACGAGGGUUGCUAGGAAGAGGACUGAGGAAGGCGGUGUUUCACACGCUCAGCAGCCAGGCUGGACUUUAAUAGUCGGCCACAUUUGAGUGGCCAUUGUUUAUGUUCCUGUGUUAAUCACAUGUAAGGUUUAUUUCACUUUAGCCAAUACAGUGUGUUUAUUUGUGGUCUUUUUCCGCUUACAUUUUGUCUAUGAUGUGUUUUUUUUUCUCACAAUAAAGAACAAAAUAUUUUCUCAGACUUUAUUGUUGUGGACCAAACUGCACACUGUGGACAAUAAAAGGCAUUCCAGCAC